GAGGGGAUAGCUCAGUGGUAGAGCACAUGUUUAGCAUGCAUGAGGUCCAGGGUUCAAUCCCCAGUACCCCUA
rnacentral:tRNA from 1 species